rnacentral:SRP_RNA from 3 species
CGAUUGGGUCCUGCGCAACAGAAACUUGUGAACCGUGUCAGAUCUUGAUCGAAGCAGCACUAAGCAAGAUCUUUUGUGUGCCGCAAGGGUCGCCUAAUCUGAGC